rnacentral:misc_RNA from 1 species
GAUGAAGAACGUAGCGAAAUGCGAUACGUAAUGUGAAUUGCAGAAUUCAGUGAAUCAUCGAAUCUUUGAACGCAUAUUGCGCUCUCUGGUAUUCCGGAGAGCAUGCUUGUUUGAGUAUCAGUAAACACCUCAACUUCCAUAUCUUUUUUGAAAUGGGAGUUGGACUUGAGUGAUCCCAACGCUUUUCCUCACCGAAAAGUGGCGGGUUACUUGAAAUGCAGGUGCAGCUGGACUUUUCUCUGAGCUAUAAGCAUAUCUAUUUAGUCUGCCUAAAAAACAGAUUAUUACCUUUGCUGCAGCUAACAUAAAGGAGAUUAGUUCUUGUGCUGACUGAUGCAGGAUUCGCAAAGACGGCUUCGGCCGACUUUGUAAACUCGAUCUCAAAUCAAGUAAGACUACCCGCUGAACUUAAGCAUAUCAAUAAGCGGAGGA